rnacentral:lncRNA from 10 species
AAUGAUAAUUCAGAUUUGAAGUCAAGUCUACCUUCAAAUCCUAGAAUCUUUCUUCAGUUCUUCAUGUUCUGUUUCUUUUAGAAUUAUACCCUUUGCCAUCUGACUUUGCUGUGCCUCCCCCUAGAGUGGGCAAAUGUGUCUUCCUGUGCAGUGAUAUUGGGCUUGACCAUUGACUUGCCCUGGGCAAAGUUAUGGGGGUGGAAACAACAGCAUGACAGUUCUGGGCUGAGACCUCAAGAAGCUUGAUCUGUUUCUACUUAUCUCUUGCUUCUGCUCCUGUCUCAUGUCUCAUUUACCACCAUGAAAAGGGCAAGUCUGAGGUUCUUUCAGCCUGGCCCCCAGAAUGAGACAAAAGAAGCAGACUCAAACUGACCCAAAGCCCUGGGCCUGCACCUUGAACCUGAGGUAUCCAGCCAACUCUCAGUGAGAAAAAUAAAUGGAAAGGGGAUCAUAGUAGUGACUUCUUUACAGGGUUCUUGAGAAUACUAAACAAGACAAUGAUGGCACUUGGCCCAAUGCCAGGCACUAAGACCUGCCCAGCUGAUCUUAUUGUCAAUCUCCAUGUUGUAGAUAAGGACAGUGAGGCUGAAAGGGGUUAAGUCACUUGGUUAAGGCUCACAACCAGUAGGUAGUAAAGCCAAGAUCUGAAACUGGACAGUUGGGCUCCUAAGCCUGUGCCCUUAACCACAACACCAUAUUGACCCUUCAAGAGUGAAAAAGUAUGUGGCGUCUGCCUUAGACAGGCAUACUCCCCAGGUGGGAGACACAACCU